CACCUUCUAGGAAGGAAGAUGUGCAGGAGAAAACACUACUUAGCUUUCAAGGCGCCCCAUUAGGUGGAGGAAAUCCAUGCAUCAUGGUUUCCUCCUCUGUGUGCCUCUAGGUCUGGAAUAGUUGGAUGUCAAAUACUUCUUCACAAGUUUCCUGUUACCAUCAGGACCAACACUUCCUGCAGAGACUUCCGGCUCAUGGAAGCAGCGUGCGCCAGCAGGAGAGUUCAAUUGCAUUGAGGGCUUCCCAAAGGAGUUCUUUUUUCCCCUUCUUGCUGGCUUCCUUCUUCUCUCUUAUCUCUGCUCUGUUCCCCACUCGCCCCAAAUCCUCAGACUUCCUCUGGAGACUGCAAAUGAUGAUUUCACAGACAGGGAGCUCAGGAGCCUGCGUUCAGGCAGGGCCCUCCUGGGCCUCCUUCGGCUCUGGGUAAAGCAGUUAUGUUGGCCCAGUCCUACAAGCAGUAUAAAAUCUGUAGGUAAUUAAGAGCUCCCAACUCUCCCUUCGGUCCUACAAAUGCAUCACCCUGGGAGAGGGAUCAGCAUUUCAUAACCCUCACUCACUGAGGUCAGGGCCAUAAAGGCUGCUGGAAUUCCAAAUGUUAAAUGAGAGGAGGUAAACAUGACUCAUUGAUACCAUAGGACACAUUAGCCUCUCUGUUCCCUCUGCUCCCCUCAAGGGUCCUACAGGCAUGAGACCCCAAGAUAUGACUUUUAGGAAUUAAGGAACCUGGAGAAUGGGGGAUAUUACCUGAAGGACACAGGUAUAUGCCACAGGAGAGAGUCUCUAUCGAUGUGUUGAUGAGUUUUAAGCAUCUGAAAAUGGGGUCAACCCAGUUCCCUCCCUCCCUCCCUCCCUUCCUUCCUCCCUUCUUUUCUUCCUUCCUCCCUCUUCCCUCCCUCCUCCCCCCCACCCCUUUCUUGCUUCCUCCCUCUGCUGAGCCCUCCUCAUUCCAGCCUGAGGCUGUGCCAACAUAGCAAUCGAACAGAGUGAAGAUAUGACAAAUAAGAAACGCAUAGUCAACAUGAUCAUUAAAACCCAAAUCCGAUAAUUCAGGUUUUAUUUUUCUUGUAU